rnacentral:rRNA from 1 species
UACGAAGGUCCCAAGCGUUAUCCGGAUUUAUUGGGUUUAAAGGGUGCGUAGGCGGGUUAUUAAGUCAGUGGUGAAAGCCUUCAGCUCAACUGAAGAACUGCCAUUGAUACUGAUGAUCUUGAGUACGAUUGAGGUAGGCGGAAUGUGUCAUGUAGCGGUGAAAUGCUUAGAUAUGACACAGAACACCGAUUGCGAAGGCAGCUUACUAAGUCGUAACUGACGCUGAUGCACGAAAGCGUGGGGAGCAAACAGG